CUGCUGAAGCACAUACUAAUUAUGUGGAGUUUUUCGAACUGCCAGCUAUAAAGGUCAGGGAAGAAUAGCGCAACAUGGAUUCAUAAACCCACGGUGGGUGGAUGGUGAGCUAUUGGUACUCAAUGGCAAGGCAAUGUGUGCCAUGAUGAGAGCAACACAAGUAAUGGUUG